AAUUAUGUGCCUGAUUAAAGGGUUAAUUUGAUAGAUUAAAUAAUGGGAUAUUUUUAUGUCGUUA
rnacentral:tRNA from 1 species